rnacentral:rRNA from 1 species
UACAGAGGCGGCAAGCGUUGUUCGGAAUUAUUGGGCGUAAAGAGCACGUAGGCGGCCUUGUAAGUCAGUUGUGAAAGCCUUCUGCUCAACGGAAGAACAGCAUCUGAUACUGCAAGGCUAGAGUGCGGAAGGGGAGAGUGGAACUUCUGGUGGAGCGGUGAAAUGCGUAGAUAUCAGAAGGAACACCGGCGGCGAAGGCGACUCUCUGGUCCGUAACUGACGCUGAGUGCACGAAGGCGUGGGGAGCAAACGGG